CCUUCAUUACUUUUACAUUUAGCCUACUUAAUAUUUCAUAUAUCAAAAUUACGAAAUGAAGACAUAAAAUCUGGACUUUUUAAAAAUAAAUGUUAUAUUGAUGUUAAACCCUGCCACUCCUUAGUGGGCCCACAAGAGGUCGCUAUUAGCCAUCCAUAAAUCUCUUGUCAUCGCCAUUUUCGUCCAGUCCUCCAGUCUGCUCUCCAUCUCCAGCAGUGACAGUCCUGAGUGGGCCGUAUGUGAAUACGUUCAUUAAUGCAGCCAUGGCUCCUGUCAGGGUAGAAAUGUGUCCAGAUGGAGGGACCCCACUGUGCAGGCCUGGCCAGCACUCGAGGGGUGAGGAGAGCUGAUGUGUGGGGUGGGGAUCCGGUCUAACUGGACUCUUUCUCAGCAUGCGGGUUGCCGAGUUUUGGCACGCCACCGUCCCUCGGCUCAGGUUACAGAAGAAAGAAGAAUAUCAUACUAGUUUGGAAUAACAUGAGGGUCCGUCUGUCACUUGGUAGAAGCUUGCCAAAUUAAGCAGGAGUCAACAUGGACAGUUUGCAUGGCGUGACUUCAUCCUUGAAAACCAUGAACAAAACUAUGCAAGGUAAAAGAAAAUAUGGGUCUACAAUAAAUACAGGUUCACAAACCACAAUGUUCCAUACAAAUUAUUUUCUGAAAGCAUGAAACCAUCAAAAUUCAACCAAAUACUCAAACAAUAAAAUUAUGUAUUUAAAAAAUAGUCAAUUUUCCUAUUCAGUAAAUGUUAUAUUAAUAAUAUUGUGAAUUGUUGGCCAUACAACUACUUUUAUAAAUGUUUGAUUUUAAGGAGAUUUUUGUUUUUUGAUUUUUACAUGAUAAACAAUUUUGGCACUUUAUUUUCCAGUGUAAAAUCUGGGUCACAAAUGAAUGAAGACACGAUACUUUUAUUCAGCAAGGAUGCAUUAAAUUGAUCAAAAGUGUCAGUAAUUUAUAUUUAUAAUUUAUAUUUAUAUUUAUAAUUUAGACAUUUAUAAUAUUACAAAAUUUUUAUAUUUCAAAUAAAUGCUGUUCAUUUGAACGUUCAAUUCAUCAAAGAAUCCUGAAAAAAAUGUUAUCACUGUUUCCACAAAAACAUUAGCAAUACAACUGUUUUCAACAUUGAUAAUAAUAAUAAAUGUUUCAUAAGUAACUCAGAUCCUUACAUCCUUCUGGUAAUGCUAAAUAGAAUAAGGUUUGGAAGAAAAAAGUGAACAGAAUGAGUGAAAAAGAAAAGUAAAGUCAUUAUCCACCAGCACCUAUUACGUUUUCUCCAAGAGUUCUUUAUAAAAGCCUGUGAUUACUUUUGUUGCUCUGCUCUGCUUUUGAAACCAGAGUCUGUCUGUGGUGGUUUGAGCCGUGUGUAACACAGUCCAGCAGGCGACAUGUUGACCUGUGACUCUGACAGGAUAUGCCAUGAGAGGUGUUGAUCUCACGGCAGGCCCUGACAGGAAGUUUCCGCAGCUCUCCACCGAACCCAUUGGAGUGCACAUCAGCCUGACGGAUGGAUGAAUGACACCAAUGAAAAAGGAGCGCUAUCCUCCGGGCAACCCGCUCAGGAUGAGUGACAGGGUGCAGGCGGGAGAAUAGACUGUCUUUGAACCUGAAAAACUCUUUUUCCUCCCUCUCUCAAAUCUUUUCUCCCCCUUUUCUCUUCUUCAAGGUGCAGAUUCCCCCCAAACUCUGGCCGAUCCACUCUUUUCUCUAUGCUGGCGUUUUGUUUCGGCUGGCUAAGGGUGUGUGUGUGUGUGGUGGGCAGUGCAGGGUGUGAGGCGUGUUAAAUGCUCUCCUUUCAGAGGCAGAAUGUGUCAGUCAGCUCACAGGCCCUGUUUUGUUUGGAGCUGUCAACCCUUCUGGAAGAGGGAGAGGAAAAACCGGGGGAGUGAAGAAGGAGAGAGAGAAAUCAGAGGGCAAGCGGAGAGGGACGUGUGGGUGUAGGGAGAGAGACAGCUGGGAGGCCUACAGGAGAGCCUGACCUCACCUCAAGAGCAAAGGGUCACUGGCAGGCCACUCACAACUAUUCCACAAAGCUGAAAUGAGUUAUUGAAUACUCAGCCCACGGCAGAAUAACUCAUACAGCAUUCAGCUACAAAAGCGAAUUAUAUGGGAAGUAUUGUGACCAACAUAAAGGUGUUUAGAGAAAUGUUAUAUGGGGAAAAAAAAGAAGAUAAUUCUGUCAUGAAUUCUGUUACCUUCAUGUUGUUCCGAAGCUGUAGGACUUUAUGUUGACGCAUAUCUUUUACAUACACAAAAAUAACUGUAAAAAAAACUAAACAAAUUCACAAAGUAAAAUGCCAUUUUCCAUUGAAACAAAGUAAAAGUAAUAUACCGUAAAAACAAUGCAUUCUGGGUAAUAUUAUUUAUUGUUUUCGAGAAAGCAGCCUAUAGGCCUCUUUUCUUAAAAUGACAAAUAUUACCCAGAAUGCAUUGUUUUUAUAGUAUAUUACUGUUUCAAUGAAAAAUGGUAUUUUACUGUGUAAAUUUGUUUCAUUUUUUACAGUUAUUUUUUAGAGUGACAGAAAGUGAAUAAUGACCUAGGUUUGUCAAGCUAAAAACAUGAAGAAAAGCAUCAUAAAAGUAAUCCAUCUGACUUUCCAAAUCUUCUAAAUAGCUUUGCAGGACCAAAAUAACAAAAUUUAAGUUGAUAUUACUCACAUAUUUACGUACCAUGCCAGGUUACAUGUCAUAAUUUGAAAAUACAUGAUCUUGUGUGUCUCGUAACAAAUCAUGAUGUCUUUAGAGGACAUAUAGAGGAAUAUAGCACACAAGUCAUCUAGACCACUUCAUAACUGUCCGAUGCUUUUUGUCAUUUUUUGUGACAGCCCCUAAUCACCAUUCACUUUCACUGUAUAGAAAAAAAACUGUAACAUCUCAUUUUGUGGUCUACGGAAGAAAAAAAAAAUUAUAAACUAUUACUUGGUAAACAG